rnacentral:sRNA from 1 species
AGAAAAAGGGAGAACCAAGAGAGUGGAUGCUCAGAAAACAUGAAUGGGAAAGAUAGACUGAGAAGGAGGAAAGUGGGAUGGAGAGGGCCAGCUGAGACGUGGGCCAGGGGCCGGAGCGGGGAUGAAGGCCCGUGGAAGCCACCGAUGAUGCCUUUUGGGACCAGUUCUGGGCAGACACAGCCACCUCGGUGCAGGAUGUGUUUGCACUGGUGCCGGCAGCAGAGAUCCGGGCCGUGCGGGAAGAGUCACCCUCCAACUUGGCCACCCUGUGCUACAAGGCCGUUGAGAAGCUGGUGCAGGGAGCUGAGAGUGGCUGCCACUCGGAGAAGGAGAAGCAGAUCGUCCUGAACUGCAGCCGGCUGCUCACCCGCGUGCUGCCCUACAUCUUUGAGGACCCCGACUGGAGGGGCUUCUUCUGGUCCACAGUGCCCGGGGCAGGGCGAGGAGGGCAGGGAGAAGAGGAUGAUGAGCAUGCCAGGCCCCUGGCCGAGUCCCUGCUCCUGGCCAUUGCUGACCUGCUCUUCUGCCCGGACUUCACGGUACAGAGCCACCGGAGGAGCACUGUGGACUCGGCGGAGGACGUUCACUCCCUGGACAGCUGUGAAUACAUCUGGGAGGC